UGGGGGAUAUUGCACAAUGGGCGAAAGCCUGAUGCAGCGACGCCGCGUGGGGGAUGAAGGCUUUCGGGUUGUAAACCUCUUUCGCUAUCGAACAAGGCCCGCUUAGGGUGGGUUGAGGGUAGGUGGAGAAGAAGCGCCGGCUAACUACGUGCCAGCAGCCGCGGUAAUACGUAGGGCGCGAGCGUUGUCCGGAAUUAUUGGGCGUAAAGGGCUUGUAGGCGGCUUGUUGCGCCUGCUGUGAAAACGCGGGGCUUAACUUCGCGCGUGCAGUGGGUACGGGCAGGCUUGAGUGUGGUAGGGGUGACUGGAAUUCCAGGUGUAGCGGUGGAAUGCGCAGAUAUCUGGAGGAACACCGAUGGCGAAGGCAGGUCACUGGGCCAUUACUGACGCUGAGGAGCGAAAGCAUGGGUAGCGAACAG
rnacentral:rRNA from 2 species